rnacentral:rRNA from 1 species
UUCGCAAUGCCCGAAAGGGUGACGAUGCGACGCCGCGUGAGCGAAGAAGGCCCUAGGGUUGUAAAGCUCUGUCGAGGGUUAUGAAAUAUAGAUGGGAUAAUACCCCAUUUAUUUGACAAAAGCCCAAAAGGAAGCCACGGCUAACUCUGUGCCAGCAGCCGCGGUAAUACAGAGGUGGCGAGCGUUGUUCGGUAUUAUUGGGCGUAAAGAGCACGUAGGUGGUUUUGUAAGUCAGGUGUGAAAGCCUUCUGUUCAAAGGAAGAACGGCAUCUGAAACUGCAGAUCUUGAGUGUAGGAGGGGAGAGUGGAACUUCUGGUGGAGCGGUGAAAUGCGUAGAUAUCAGAAGGAACGUCGGCGGCGAAAGCGACUCUCUGGCCUAUUACUGACACUGAGUGUGCGAAAGUUAGGGGAGCAAACGGGAUUAGAUACCCCGGUAGUCCUAACCGUAAACGAUGGGCACUAAGUAGAGGGGUUUU